rnacentral:rRNA from 1 species
UACGGAGGGUGCAAGCGUUAUCCGGAUUCACUGGGUUUAAAGGGUGCGUAGGUGGGCAAGUAAGUCAGUGGUGAAAUCUCCGGGCUUAACCCGGAAACUGCCAUUGAUACUAUUUGUCUUGAAUACUGUGGAGGUCAGCGGAAUAUGUCAUGUAGCGGUGAAAUGCUUAGAUAUGACAUAGAACACCAAUUGCGAAGGCAGCUUACUUCACGAUCAUUGACACUGAGGCACGAAAGCGUGGGGAGCAAACAGG